rnacentral:rRNA from 1 species
AACGAACGCUGGCGGCAUGCCUAACACAUGCAAGUCGAACGAGACCUUCGGGUCUAGUGGCGCACGGGUGCGUAACGCGUGGGAACCUGCCCUUAGGUUCGGAAUAACUCCCCGAAAGGGGUGCUAAUACCGGAUAAUGUCUUCGGACCAAAGAUUUAUCGCCUUUGGAUGGGCCCGCGUUGGAUUAGCUAGUUGGUAGGGUAAAAGCCUACCAAGGCGACGAUCCAUAGCUGGUCUGAGAGGAUGAUCAGCCACACUGGGACUGAGACACGGCCCAGACUCCUACGGGAGGCAGCAGCGGGGAAUAUUGGACAAUGGGCGAAAGCCUGAUCCAGCAAUGCCGCGUGAGUGAUGAAGGCCUUAGGGUUGUAAAGCUCUUUUACCCGGGAUGAUAAUGACAGUACCGGGAGGAUAAGCUCCGGCUAACUCCGUG